ensembl:snRNA U6 U6 spliceosomal RNA
GUGCUCGCUUCAGCGGCCCAGAUACUAAAACUGGAACAAGACAGACAAUGUUAGUGUGGCCCCUGCCCCAAGAUGACAUAUAGAUUAAUGAAGUGUUCCGUAUUUAC